GAAUGUACACUUUUCUGUUUUAACGUUUGGAGUGCUUUCGAUCAGUUUGCUACGACUGUUUCUUCACGAAUAUCGCUCCUUUGGCCGUCCUUAGCAUUCUCCAGUUCAGGAGUGCGGCGCACUUCACACAAGCUAAAAAGACACAGGGGCAAGGGGAAUCACCGCACGCUCCACCCAGUUCUUCUAAGAAACAUAGUCGGACCACCAUAUCCCCAGAGAUUCUAUAAACUUAAGACGCCGUUACCGUGCCGAAACAAAAUCCGACGCCAAUGCUCGCUGUAUCUCACUUUAUGGUAUUCGGUUUUGUGUCCGUCGUUUGUUAUUGCCGCGUGGCCAAUAACGAUCGCACCGUCAGAGCCCGAGCGGGCCCGAGCAUCGUACUGUUCGUUAUCAUUUUAUCUGCUAUUAUGUACAUUGUAUUACGAGCCGUGUCUGAAUUAUUUUGAUGCGGAAGAGGUGGAGUGAACGGAUGCUUCCCCUUGCCCCUCAACACUUUUACUUCGUCGAUAGUUAGUCAAUAGGUGAGAGGUCUACAUACAUAACUUACGUGACACCUGAUGUAAGUUGUUAGCGAAGCGUUGGACGUGUGACUAUAAUUAUGGCAGUUUUACAGACGCAGAUGUAUUCUACAGAGAUUAAAAGAAUUCACUAGAACAGCAGAAGGGCAAGAGGUGUCUUUCGGGAGCUCUGCCUAUUCCCACAUCUGCAGUUCCGAGAAGUCGGCCAUUUAGGUUCUGACGUCAUUCACUGCGAAGUACAGCACAGCUCCACGUUCCAAGCCGCGAUCAAAAAGCUAAAAGUGUACAGGGGCAAGAGGCGACUUGCGAUCUGCUCACAGGGCUCGGCCCGUUACAGUUCGCCUCCACCGAGUUGAGUCACGAAAGUAUGGUUAAUCUACCAGGGGAGCAAGGGGAACGACUAGUUGCCACGCUCGACUGGGUUGUCAUAACGGCUCUACUCCGGCACGUCCUUGUUGGCCGAUUCGACCGAUUCCCCUUGCCGCCCUGCCCGCUUAACCGUCGCGAUCGUGGCUCAGCACGAAAGAGGCAAACUAUAGUUAUGGCAACAGUGACGCCGCACUUUCGGCACGCUUUUGAAAUUGGGCAAGGCGUGCAACAGAGAAUGUGUUGAACAAAGAAGGACCUAGAUGGUGCAUGUCGUCGAUUCUCCUUGCGCUCGUGCACUUUUAGCUUUUAGAUCAUAGCUUGAGAACUACACUGUAAUCGGGUGUCAGGAUUUAUGAGGGA